GAAGGGUGACGCAUGCAUACAAACUGUGUGAAUACGAUUAUUUUGCCGGUUUGAUCAGCACGAUCAUCUUCGCGAUAGGCUGAUCGAUCAAAUCUGGCAUUAAAUUGCUAUUUUCACCGUGCGUAUGUAUCGCUAGUCCCUAUACCGUGCGGCCAUCUUCACGAUAAGCUCGACAUAGUCAAAACCCAGCGAUCCAAAUGGAACCUUUCUUAAUGGGUUGAUCGAGUGGCCAUCUUUGUGAUAGGAUCAACAAGAUUAAACCCGAGCAUUUGGACAAAAAAAUAAUAAAAUAAAAAAAUAAAUAAUAAAAAUAACAAAAUAAGUGUUAUUUUAAUUUGUCAUUUUCGUGAUAGGCAUUGUUCGAUCCAUACACCAUCUUUGUGAUAGGCAUUGUUCGGCUCGAUCGAUUUGCAAUCUUUGUGACAAGCACUAUUCGAACCAUAUGUCAUAUUUAUGAUAGGCAUGGUUCAACUUGACCAAAUUGCCAUCUUCUUGAAAGGCACAUGUUUGAUCGAAUUGUCAUCUUCGUGAUAGGUAUAAUGCAACUUAAUUGAACCUCUUUUUUGGG
rnacentral:lncRNA from 1 species